CACGGGGGUUGCGAGCGUUGUCCGGAAUUAUUGGGCGUAAAGAGCUUGUAGGCGGUUUGUCGCGUCUGCUGUGAAAAUCCGGGGCUCAACCCCGGACUUGCAGUGGGUACGGGCAGACUAGAGUGUGGUAGGGGAGACUGGAAUUCCUGGUGUAGCGGUGAAAUGCGCAGAUAUCAGGAGGAACACCGAUGGCGAAGGCAGGUCUCUGGGCCACUACUGACGCUGAGAAGCGAAAGCAUGGGGAGCGAACAGGAUUAGAUACCCCGGUAGU
rnacentral:rRNA from 1 species